rnacentral:rRNA from 1 species
UGGGGAAUUUUUGGACAAUGGGCGAAAGCCUGAUCCAGCAAUGCCGCGUGUGUGAAGAAGGCCUUCGGGUUGUAAAGCACUUUUGUCCGGAAAGAAAUCCUUGGCUCUAAUACAGUCGGGGGAUGACGGUACCGGAAGAAUAAGCACCGGCUAACUACGUGCCAGCAGCCGCGGUAAUACGUAGGGUGCAAGCGUUAAUCGGAAUUACUGGGCGUAAAGCGUGCGCAGGCGGUUUGCUAAGACCGAUGUGAAAUCCCCGGGCUCAACCUGGGAACUGCAUUGGUGACUGGCAGGCUAGAGUAUGGCAGAGGGGGGUAGAAUUCCACGUGUAGCAGUGAAAUGCGUAGGAGAUGUGGAGGAAUACCGAUGGCGAAAGGCAGCCCCCUGGGCCAAUACUGACGCUCAUGCACGAAAAGCGUGGGGGAGCAAAACAGGAUUAGAUACCCUGGUAGUCCACGCCCUAAAACGAUGUCAACUAGUUGUUGGGGGAUUCAUUUCCUUAGUAACGUAGCUAACGCGUGAAGUUGACCG